GUGGGGAAUAUUGGACAAUGGGGGGAACCCUGAUCCAGCCAUGCCGCGUGUGUGAAGAAGGCCUUUUGGUUGUAAAGCACUUUAAGCGAGGAGGAGGCGCCCUAGAUUAAUACUCUAGGAGCGUGGACGUUACUCGCAGAAUAAGCACCGGCUAACUCUGUGCCAGCAGCCGCGGUAAUACAGAGGGUGCGAGCGUUAAUCGGAUUUACUGGGCGUAAAGCGUACGUAGGCGGCUUUUUAAGUCGGAUGUGAAAUCCCUGAGCUUAACUUAGGAAUUGCAUUCGAUACUGGUUGGCUAGAGUAUGGGAGAGGAUGGUAGAAUUCCAGGUGUAGCGGUGAAAUGCGUAGAGAUCUGGAGGAAUACCGAUGGCGAAGGCAGCCAUCUGGCCUAAUACUGACACUGAGGUGCGAAAGCAUGGGGAGCAAACAGGAUUAGAUACCCUAGUAGUCC
rnacentral:rRNA from 1 species